rnacentral:rRNA from 1 species
UACAGAGGGUGCGAGCGUUAAUCGGAGUUACUGGGCGUAAAGGGCGCGUAGGCGGUGAGAUGGGUGUGAUGUGAAAGCCCCGGGCUUAACCUGGGAAGUGCAUCGCAAACUAUCUGACUGGAGUAUAUGAGAGGGUGGCGGAAUUUCAGGUGUAGCGGUGAAAUGUGUUGAUAUCGGGAGGAAUACCCGUGGCGAAGGCGGUCCACUGGGCAUCAACUGACGCUGAGGCGCGAAAGCGUGGGUAGCAAACAGG